rnacentral:rRNA from 1 species
ACUCAAAGGAAUUGACGGGGGCUCACACAAGCGGUGGAGCAUGUGGCUUAAUUCGAAGCAACGCGAAGAACCUUAUCCUGGGUUUGACAUGUAUGGAUGCCCUCGAUGAAAGUCGAGUAAGCUGCCUUCGGGUGAAACAUACACAGGUGCUGCAUGGCUGUCGUCAGCUCGUGUCGUGAGAUGUUGGGUUAAGUCCCUUAACGAGCGAAACCCUUGUCGUUAGUUACCAUCGAGCCUUCGGGUGUCGGGGACUCUAACGAGACUGCCGGUGUCAAACCGGAGGAAGGUGGGGAUGACGUCAAGUCCUCAUGGCCUUUAUGCCCAGGGCUGCACACGUGCUACAAUGGCGCGGACAAACCGAUGCAAGACCGUGAGGUGGAGCAAAUCGGAAAAACCGCGUCUCAGUUCGGAUUGCAGGCUGCAACUCGCCUGCAUGAAGUCGGAAUCGCUAGUAAUCGCAGAUCAGCUACGCUGCGGUGAAUAAGUUCCUGAGCCUUGUACACACCGCCCGU